GAUCAGCCCCACCAUCGUCUUUGUCCCUUCAUCUCAGAACUGAAGGUGACAGAAUAUAAAACCAGGAGCAAAGGAGAUGUAAACUCAGAGAAAAAACACUAGCGGACGAAAGCGCAGAGACGAGAACCGGCAUUGACCAUCGUCGUCACAGUCUUCAGCAACCAGCCUCCAAAACCAGAGGCAGCAGAACAAAGAAUCAGAAACAAGAAAAGAGGACAGAGGAAAAACAGAACAGGGAAGGCAAACAAGCCCAACACAGAGACGAAAACGAGAAAACACAGAGGAGGGAGCUUCCAUUCAACCAGCAGCACCUCAGGCCUUUAUCACCAUCGAGACAGACAGGAAACGAG
rnacentral:lncRNA from 1 species